AUUCCAGCUCCAAUAGCGUAUAUUAAAGUUGUUGCGGUUAAAAAGCUCGUAGUUGGAGUUCUGCCAGGUGCCACCUGUCCGCCCCAGUGGUGAGUACGUGGUGCGCAUUUGGCCCUUUCAAGGGGAGCGUAUUUGCACUUAAUUGUGUGGUGCGGGAUCCUUGACUUUUACUUUGAGGAAAUAAGAGUGUUCCAAGCAGGCUCUCGUCGUGCAUAGCUCAGCAUGGAAUAAUAGCAUUGGACCUCGAUUCUAAGCUGUUGGUUGCCAGAAGCGAGGUAAUGAUGAAGAGGGAUAGUUGGGGGUGCUAGUAUUGAGCGGCCAGAGGUGAAAUUCUUGGAUUCGCUCAAGACUAACUUAUGCGAAGGCAUUCACCAAGGAUGUCUUCAUCA
rnacentral:rRNA from 1 species